rnacentral:rRNA from 1 species
CAGCAGCCGCGGGAAUACGUAGGUGGCAAGCGUUGUCCGGAAUUAUUGGGCGUAAAGCGCGCGCAGGCGGAUCAGUUAGUCUGUCUUAAAAGUUCGGGGCUUAACCCCGUGAGGGGAUGGAAACUGCUGAUCUAGAGUAUCGGAGAGGAAAGUGGAAUUCCUAGUGUAGCGGUGAAAUGCGUAGAUAUUAGGAAGAACACCAGUGGCGAAGGCGACUUUCUGGACGAAAACUGACGCUGAGGCGCGAAAGCCAGGGGGGCGAACGGGAUUAGAUACCCCCGUAGUCCCUGUCUCUUAUACA